rnacentral:misc_RNA from 1 species
GUUUGAGCAUUCACAAUUGUUUGGAGGAACAUGGCCGUGGGCUUAUGCUGCUUUGUGCUUCUCAUGUGGUUAUUUUGCGUAUGAUCAGUGGGAUAUGCUGCAAUACCAAUUAUACAGUGGCUGGAUCCCUGCGAUCUUAGUUCAUCAUCUGGUUCUUCUCAUUUGCUUUACGCUUGCUUUGUAUAGGAAUGUCACCAUCAAUUAUCUCAUUCUCACUCUCAUUUGCGAGAUGCAUUCUAUUUUU